UACGGGGGGGGGCAAGCGUUGUUCGGAAUUACUGGGCGUAAAGGGCUCGUAGGUGGCCAACUAAGUCAGACGUGAAAUCCCUCAGCUUAACUGGGGAACUGCGUCUGAUACUGGAUGGCUUGAGAUUGGGAGAGGGAUGCGGAAUUCCAGGUGUAGCGGUGAAAUGCGUAGAUAUCUGGAGGAACACCGAUGGCGAAGGCAGCCCCCUGGGCUAACACUGACGCUCAGGCACGAAAGCGUGGGGAGCAAACAGG
rnacentral:rRNA from 1 species